GAAAGAGGGGGUUGAAAGGACAAGCGGUUGCAGAAAAAAAAUCAUACGGUAAGCUUUCUGUCGUAGUUGUAGGUCUGGGUUUGAGCUGGUGUGUUGCAUAAAUUUUAGUCACUCUUGAACUACACCAGUCAAGAAAUGGGAAUUUUUUUUUCUUGUAUCAAGAAACUAUAUACUCUUCAAUAAUGGAUCGUAACGUAUACACACCUUUUAUAUUCAAGAUAAUUUAUACGAUUAACGAAUUUUUGAAAUACAAAUUAUAAAUAAUUUUAAAAUCGGUUAAUGAAUGAAGGUAACAAGGAGCAUGUGAAUAUAACCUUAUGAACUGUAUAGAUAGAUGGACGAAUGAUUGUUCGGUUGGUUGGUUGGAUGGAUGGAUACCUUGCACUUUGCUAUAUUCAUAGAUACACAUGAGUAUGCAUUGUGUAGGUACAUAUGUAUGAAAGAUUGUUCCUAACAAAGAAAUAAUAAACUCACACACUCGGUUAUAGUCUCGUCGCGACUACGGGCAAUGUCUGGUCUGGUCUCCAUCUUCUCGCACAGACACAGCAACAAGAGCAACAACAACAGCAAUGAGCCAACAAACACAGCAACGACAACAACAACAUCUCAAACAAACAGCAGCAGCAGUGCAGAACAAAAACAACAGCAACAACGACUACGACAACAGCACCGCCACCAGAUAGAACAUAGAGACACACAUGGAAUAAACCGAAAUCAACGAACAAAUUUUAUAUACGAAUCAAACCAGCAAGAAAGCAGUCAGUCGACCAGCCAGAAGCUAACGAGCCACCAGGCAGGCAGCCAGCAAGGCAGUCAGCAAUCAGCAGCAAAAGCAAAAUGUGUUUUGCAAACUUUUGGCUUUUGAUUGAACGACGACAUUGAAUACCACUCAUUUGAUCGCCAACAGCCGGUCCGAACGGUUUGCUAAAAAGAAACUCUUUCCGUGCUUAAGUCAAAUAAAUUGAAAAAUAUAAAAAUUAUUUUCUUACACUUAAUACUUUAUAAAUACAAAUAACAUUUGUGUGUUGUGUCGUUGUUUAAAUAAUUAACAAAGAACAAAAAAAAAACGAAGAAUUAACUUAAGAAAACCUUUUAUUGAGAACAAAAAUUUAUAACCCAAGUGAAAUUUCUGAAAUUAAAGAAUAAAAAAGAACAUUUGUUAAUAAAAUAAACUGACAAAAAAACGGGAAAAAAUAAAAAGAAACAGAACAAAGAGAGAAAUAAAUAUUAAAAAAAAAACACAUGUAUAACUACUACAACUGACUGUUACCGUCACCAAACCAUAGUGCUUGAGAGUGUGUUUGUGUAACUGUGAGUGCGAACUUUUUUUUUUUCAAAGUUGUAUGCGGACGGACAGAUGGAGGUGACGCAUGGUGAGGCAAACUUUUGCUAAGAAAAAAACAGAAUUGUAAUACAAAAACGUUGUUGUGUGCUGCUGCUGUUGUUGUUGUUGUUAGUUUAGUUAACCAAAACGCAAUAAAUUGUGAAAUUCAAGCCCGGCAUUUAUUUAAGCGAAUCUAAAACUGAGAGAAUUGAGAAAAGUAUAGACAAAAUACGAAUAAAAACUAAUAAAAUUAAAACUCAUAUGUAAAUUAAUUAAUUGCAAAUGUAUGCGAAAUAUAAUUUUUCCAAAGUAUUCCUCAUUUUUAUGUAAAUUGAGAAAGUAUAUUUGACAUGUUGUUGGCGAUGAUGGUGAUGAUGAUGAUGACAUUGCUAUUCUUCUUGCUACUCUACUCUACUCCUCCAGACAAAUAAAUGAAUGCCAUGGAAUUUUCCCGAUAAUCAAAAAUAUCAAGAAAACAAUACAAACAAGUUAUUUUUAGCUUAAUUUUAUGCUCUCAUCAUCACCAGCGAUAUUAACAAACAAGAAAAAAAAACUUUUCAAAAUUUCUCAGCUACAAUUCUAUUGAAAUUGAACGUUUUUUUUUUUUAAAUUUUUGUUUGGCGUAUUGAAAAAAUUUAAAUAAAUUAUUUAAAUGACGCAAAUAUGCGUUAUGUUUUUUGUACAAAGAAUUCGGGGAGAAAAAAAUCAUGCGUUAAACUCAUGGCAAAAUUAAAAACGAAAAAAAAAAAAUUUAAAUAAUAAAUAAAUAUAAAAUAUAAGAAAUUUCUAUACAAUGUAGUUGCUAGACAUGUGUAUAAAACCAAAAAAA